UGGGGAAUUUUGGACAAUGGGCGAAAGCCUGAUCCAGCAAUGCCGCGUGUGUGAAGAAGGCCUUCGGGUUGUAAAGCACUUUUGUCCGGAAAGAAAUCCUUGGCUCUAAUACAGUCGGGGGAUGACGGUACCGGAAGAAUAAGCACCGGGCUAACUACGUGCCAGCAGCCGCGGUAAUACGUAGGGUGCAAGCGUUAAUCGGAAUUACUGGGCGUAAAGCGUGCGCAGGCGGUUUGCUAAGACCGAUGUGAAAUCCCCGGGCUCAACCUGGGAACUGCAUUGGUGACUGGCAGGCUAGAGUAUGGCAGAGGGGGGUAGAAUUCCACGUGUAGCAGUGAAAUGCGUAGAGAUGUGGAGGAAUACCGAUGGCGAAGGCAGCCCCCUGGGCCAAUACUGACGCUCAUGCACGAAAGCGUGGGGAGCAAACAGGAUUAGAUACCCUGGUAGUCCACGCCCUAAACGAUGUCAACUAGUUGUUGGGGAUUCAUUUCCUAGUAACGUAGCUAACGCGUGAAGUUGACCGCCUGGGGGAGUACGGUCGCAAGAUUAAAACUCAAAUGAAUUGAC
rnacentral:rRNA from 1 species